GACGAACGCUGGCGGCGUGCCUAAUACAUGCAAGUCGAACGCAGUGGGGACGGGUGAGUAACACGUGGGUAACCUCCCAUCAGAGGGGAUAACACCUGGAAACAGGUGCUAAACCGAUACUGAUGGAUGGACCCGCGGGGCAUUAGCUAGUUGGCGAGGUAACGGCUCACCAAGGCCACGAUUCGUACCCGAUCUGAGAGGAGGAUCGACCAGACUGGGGCUGAGAAACGACCCAGACUCCUACGGGAAGCAGCGAUAGGGAAUAUUCGACAAUGGACAAAAGUCUGACCGAGCAAAGACUCGUGAGUGAAGAAGGUUUUCGGAUCGUAAAACACUGUUAGUAGAAGAGCGGUAACUAACCAGAAAGCCGCGGCUAACUACGUGCCAACAGCCGCGGUAAUUC
rnacentral:rRNA from 1 species